rnacentral:rRNA from 1 species
UACGGAGGGUGCGAGCGUUGUCCGGAUUUACUGGGCGUAAAGAGCGCGCAGGCGGUCGUUCAAGUCGCGUGUGAGAGCCCCCGGCUCAACUGGGGAGGGUCACGCGAUACUGAUCGACUCGAAGGCAGGAGAGGCUCGCGGAAUUCCCAGUGUAGAGGUGAAAUUCGUAGAUAUUGGGAAGAACACCGGUGGCGAAGGCGGCGAGCUGGCCUGUUACUGACGCUGAGGCGCGACAGCGUGGGGAGCAAACAGG